rnacentral:rRNA from 1 species
UACCAGACUCCUACGGGAGGCAGCAGUGGGGAGUAUUGCACAAUGGGGGAAACCCUGAUGCAGCGACGCCGCGUGAGUGAAGAAGUAUUUCGGUACGUAAAGCUCUAUCAGCAGGGAAGAAAAUGACGGUACCUGAUUAAGAAGCCCCGGCUAACUACGUGCCAGCAGCCGCGGUAAUACGUAGGGGGCAAGCGUUAUCCGGAUUUACUGGGUGUAAAGGGAGCGUAGACGGCAGUGCAAGUCUGGAGUGAAAGGCGGGGGCUCAACCCCCGGACUGCUCUGGAAACUGUACGGCUGGAGUGCAGGAGAGGUAAGUGGAAUUCCUAGUGUAGCGGUGAAAUGCGUAGAUAUUAGGAGGAACACCAGUGGCGAAGGCGGCUUACUGGACUGUAACUGACGUUGAGGCUCGAAAGCGUGGGGAGCAAACAGGAUUAGAUACCCCCGUACG